rnacentral:rRNA from 1 species
UACGUAGGGAGCGAGCGUUGUCCGGAAUCAUUGGGCGUAAAGAGCUCGUAGGCGGCUUGGUAAGUCGGAUGUGAAACCUCCAGGCUCAACCUGGAGUCGCCAUCCGAUACUGCCAUAGCUAGAGUCCGGUAGGGGCCCACGGAACUCCUGGUGUGAGCGGUGAAAUGCGCAGAUAUCAGGAAGAACACCGGUGGCGAAGGCGGUGGGCUGGGCCGGCACUGACGCUGAGACGCGAAAGCCAGGGGAGCGAACGGG